rnacentral:rRNA from 1 species
CUCCCUCGUUGCUGAUCUCAGGUUCGAUAAUGCCAAUAUCGCACCACCUCGCCUAAAACCAACUUCGAUGAAGCGACGGGCGGUGUGUGA